UAAAUAAGAAGCAAUUAUUGCAGUUAGUUUCGACCUAAAAGUUAGGCAUCAACCGCCCUUAUUU
rnacentral:tRNA from 1 species